rnacentral:rRNA from 1 species
UGGGGGAUAUUGCACAAUGGGCGAAAGCCUGAUGCAGCGACGCCGCGUGGGGGAUGAAGGCUUUCGGGUUGUAAACCUCUUUCGCUAUCGAACAAGGCCCGCUUAGGGUGGGUUGAGGGUAGGUGGAGAAGAAGCGCCGGCUAACUACGUGCCAGCAGCCGCGGUAAUACGUAGGGCGCGAGCGUUGUCCGGAAUUAUUGGGCGUAAAGGGCUUGUAGGCGGCUUGUUGCGCCUGCUGUGAAAACGCGGGGCUUAACUUCGCGCGUGCAGUGGGUACGGGCAGGCUUGAGUGUGGUAGGGGUGACUGGAAUUCCAGGUGUAGCGGUGGAAUGCGCAGAUAUCUGGAGGAACACCGAAGGCGAAGGCAGGUCACUGGGCCAUUACUGACGCUGAGGAGCGAAAGCAUGGGUAGCGAACAGG